UCGAGAAUUUUUCUCAAUGGGCGCAAGCCUGAAGGAGCGACGCCGCGUGUGGGAUGAAGGGUUUCGAUCCGUAAACCACUGUCAUUUGUGAACAAUGGUUAUUAUUUAAAAGAUGAUAACUUGAUAGUAAUGAAAGAGGAAGGGACGGCUAACUCUGUGCCAGCAGCCGCGGUAAUACAGAGGUCCCGAGCGUUGUUCGGAUUCACUGGGCGUAAAGGGUGCGUAGGUGGCAUGUUAAGUUUGAUGUGAAAGCUCAGGGCUCAACCCUGAAAUGGCAUUGAAUACUAGCGUGCUGGAGGUUUGGAGGGGGGACUGGAAUUCUCGGUGUAGCAGUGAAAUGCGUAGAUAUCGAGAGGAACACCAGUGGCGAAGGCGAGUCCCUGGACAACACCUGACACUGAGGCACGAAAGCCGGGGGAGCAAACAGG
rnacentral:rRNA from 1 species